rnacentral:lncRNA from 1 species
CAGCAAAGUUUGCCAGCACAGCAGAAGAGGAGGAAGCCUGCCGUCCACUCUCAGCACCAUGGCAACAUGGCACCCAGAAAAUACUUGGUCAAUUUUAAAGCACUUUGCAAAAGCAAGAAGAGUGCAUGUAGAAAAAACUUCAAUGUCCACUAAGUUCUUCACUGUCCGUUUUAAAUAACUUGCCCAUCGACCCCAAGAUAUAGGCUGAUUGAUUACUUUUCUUUUGCAUGUACCACCCACCCCCAUUCACUGUCCAUCCCCACUCUGUUCUGCACCCCCAAGCCCAGCUACAAAGACUGUAUCGCCUAUUCCUUGACCCUUUGGUCAAAUUUAUCCAGAAGGAAGGACCAGUGUGAAUUGGAACUAGAACCCAGGUGUACUGAAGCCAAGGUCAAUACCAGCACCAAACAAGGUUUGUUCCACUACAGUUCCUUGACCCUGUUAGAUUAUUGGGCAGUUACUUUACAGAGGAUGCCUUUAAUUCCCUUUCCUAAUCUUUCUAAAGCAGUCCCUUUGAAAUGCCCACACUCAGCCAUAGUGCCCUCCAAGGUGAGCUCUUCUAGACCAAGGGCCAAUUGAUUGACAUUAUGUGCUACUCCAGGGCUCUCUCCUGAAGCAAAGGCGAGGGUCUGGGUGGGAUCCUACCAAGUCGAGGAGGUGGAGGUGGUACAGGAAGCAGCUGGUCCUGACCCUAGGGUUAAAGGUGAAGCCUGUAAGAGGAGGGGAAGCCAUAGACCCAGAAUCUAAAACCUAAAACCAGCGCCGUUUACAACACAGCAUUUGUUAUAUGUUACCACCAGUCCCCACCAGUGGACCAAAACUCUUUUAGAAACAAAACCUCCUUUUUAAAUAUGUUGUGCAUCUUUUAGUCUUAUGCUCUGUUAAAC